GAGUUUGAUCCUGGCUCAGGACGAACGCUGGCGGCGUGCUUAACACAUGCAAGUCGAGCGGUGAAGCCUUUCGGGGUGGAUCAGCGGCGAACGGGUGAGUAACACGUGAGCAACCUGCCUUCAGCUUCGGGAUAACUCCGGGAAACCGGGCUAAUACCGGAUAUGACUUCUUGCCGCAUGGUGAGGGGUGGAAAGAUUAUUCGGCGUGGAGGAUGGGCGUCGCGGCCGUAUCAGCUUGUUGGUGGGGUUGG
rnacentral:rRNA from 1 species